rnacentral:lncRNA from 1 species
UCAUGAUUCGAAUAACUCUAAGAUUGUCUUAUCCCAUAGAAACUAGAUGCAAUAGGUGGAUAUAUUCAGCACUUCGUUCACAAUUAAAUGACUGACAUGAUAGAUAUUUUUCACAGACAAACCAAAGACAAGUUUGGAAAUUAGCAAUUGAAUAACAACGGUUAACAACAAAGUUCUGAACAUCACAAUAUAAGAACCACAUUACUCGAUUAAAUCCCUGCAAUUAAUUUUAUAUCUCAAACAGUAAUACUGUCUUGAACUAAUUAACUGAAUAGGGCAUUCAAGAAUCAAGAUAUACUACUCAAGGGAAGAGGUUUCACUUAGUACAAAUUGAUACAAGAAACUCAUGAAAUUAGAAGCAAGGCCAUGACGUCUUAACUAGUUAACGCUCAUGUCGUUGUAAAAUGAUUUUCAACCCAGCAGCUCCUAUAAUAACGAAAGAGGAAAUUGAUUGAAUCAUAUGGCUUCAGCGAUGCUUAUAGUCUGCUACUCAAGACCUUUCAACACAAACAUAUUUACAUAAAGUUCAAACCACCAUCAUAGUCUCACAGAAAGGAAAAGAAAAAACAGACUUCCCCAAAUCAUUCAAAUCCAUCAAUAGCUUAUUUUGUCGACUCCAAAUCUUAACAGAGCCAAAUGAAUCAAGAACAAGCAAAAAAGCAACAGAACUUAAAACUUUGGCGAAACAUCACUUAAUCAAUAUGAGAAUCAAUAGGUAUACAACAAAAUUUCAUCCCUGAAUCAAAAAUAAGUUAGGAUUUACAUACCAGCAAAGAAACAGACUUAGCAAAACCAAGUAAAGGCUAAGAGCAGCCACAAACUGAAGCUCGGCUACAAUGAUUCACACAAAACGAGUUCGAACAAAAAUUGCGACAAAACCCACAAACCAGCAGCAGGAAUCGAACAGCCGGAAAAAAAUCAAUCUACUCUAAACUCAAUCGAACCCCGUUCUUUGAACACCUGAAUUAAAAGAAGAAGAAAAAGAAUGAAAUUCCAUAAUUUCAUAUAUGUUUUUCUGAAAUUCAAGCUAAACCUUGUAUUUUUUUGUGGAGUAAUAUCAGAACUCAAAAGAAAAGGAAAUAAAAAAAAUCUAGAACGGGUUCAUCCGAAAAUUAGAAGAAAAUUCUCGAACCUUCUGCCCCAAAUCCAAAAAGAAAGUCCUCCAAUCUCUUUGUGUAAACGAUUUUUGAGACAAAUGGAGGGUGUGGAUCGAUUGACAAUCAAUCCAUGGCUCCCACUAAUCUCAAAAUCACUCAACAAGGAAUCUAAACCCGUGAAACCCAAAAAGAAUAAUUAUGUUUGUCAGAAAUAGUUACGCUACGUGGCAAGAGUAGAGAGAAGGGAGUACGUGGGGCGAGUUUGGGGUGAACUCGCCUGAGUUUCAGGCGAUUUUGGGUGGAGUUGGGCGUAGCAGAGACUAGGUUAGAGGGGAUGGGGCGCCGUUUGAAUUAGAAAAAUUAGGGUUAGGUUUUAGGGUUUGGGAAUUAUAAUUGGUUUUUAUAUGAG